CUUUGGAUGUCUUCACACGCUGCAGUGGUGUGCACGAGGCUCUGGUGGCAGCAGAGUCGGAGGGGUUCUGUCUGCUGCAUGAGCUUUCCAAAAAACUGAAAUCACAACAGCAUAAGCUGAAGGUUUGGAAUAAACUGGGGGAGAAGUUACAUUAAAGCCUCUUCCCAGUUGAGCAUACAAUACACUGUAUGGGAUGCUGGUUGGUUGGAGGGUGAUCCUGGAUGCUACUGCAUGAAACACAGUGACAUUAGCAGCCCUGCAGUGUUUAUCAGAUUUUCUCAGACACCGUGAGGGAAACUGGAUUCUGUGCACCAACCUAAACAAGCCGUGACUCGUCCUGUACUGGCCUGCAUCAACACAUCUGGUGGGCAUCUAUACAGGGCAU